rnacentral:rRNA from 1 species
UACGGAGGAUCCAAGCGUUAUCCGGAUUUAUUGGGUUUAAAGGGUGCGCAGGCGGAAGAUUAAGUCGGCGGUGAAAUUUUGCAGCUCAACUGUAAAAGUGCCAUCGAUACUGGUUUUCUUGAGUGUGGAUGAAGUAGGCGGAAUUUGUGGUGUAGCGGUGAAAUGCUUAGAUAUCACGAGGAACUCCGAUUGCGCAGGCAGCUUACUAAACUACUACUGACGCUCAGGCACGAAGGCGUGGGGAUCAAACAGGAUUAGAUACCCCCGUAGU